rnacentral:rRNA from 1 species
AGCGAACGCUGGCGGCAGGCCUAACGCAUGCAAGUCGAACGAAGUCUUCGGACUUAGUGGCGGACGGGUGAGUAACACGUGGGAACGUGCCUUUAGGUUCGGAAUAACUCAGGGAAACUUGUGCUAAUACCGAAUGUGCCCUUCGGGGGAAAGAUUUAUCGCCUUUAGAGCGGCCCGCGUCUGAUUAGCUAGUUGGUGAGGUAAAGGCUCACCAAGGCUACGAUCAGUAGCUGGUCUGAGAGGAUGACCAGCCACAUUGGGACUGAGACACGGCCCAAACUCCUACGGGAGGCAGCAGCGGGGAAUCUUGCGCAAUGGGCGAAAGCCUGACGCAGCCAUGCCGCGUGGAUGAUGAAGGUCUUAGGAUUGUAAAAUCCUUUCACCGGUGAAGAUAAUGACUGUAGCCGGAGAAGAAGCCCCGGCUAACUUCGUGCCAGCCGCCGCCGUAACAC